CAGCAGCCGCGGGAAAACAGAGGGUGCAAGCGUUAAUCGGAAUUACUGGGCGUAAAGCGCGCGUAGGCGGCUUUUUAAGUCGGAUGUGAAAUCCCUGAGCUUAACUUAGGAAUUGCAUUCGAUACUGGGAAGCUAGAGUAUGGGAGAGGAUGGUAGAAUUCCAGGUGUAGCGGUGAAAUGCGUAGAGAUCUGGAGGAAUACCGAUGGCGAAGGCAGCCAUCUGGCCUAAUACUGACGCUGAGGUACGAAAGCAUGGGGAGCAAACAGGAUUAGAUACCCGUGUAGUCCCUGUCUCUUAUAC
rnacentral:rRNA from 1 species